rnacentral:rRNA from 1 species
ACGGGGGCCCGCACAAGCGGCGGAGCAUGCGGAUUAAUUCGAUGCAACGCGAAGAACCUUACCAAGGCUUGACAUACACUGGACCGUUCUGGAAACAGUUCUUCUCUUUGGAGCUGGUGUACAGGUGGUGCAUGGUUGUCGUCAGCUCGUGUCGUGAGAUGUUGGGUUAAGUCCCGCAACGAGCGCAACCCUCGUUCUAUGUUGCCAGCACGUGAUGGUGGGAACUCAUAGGAGACUGCCGGGGUCAACUCGGAGGAAGGUGGGGAUGACGUCAAAUCAUCAUGCCCUUUAUGUCUUGGGCUUCACGCAUGCUACAAUGGCUGGUACAGAGAGAGGCGAACCCGUGAGGGUAAGCGAAUCCCUUAAAGCCAGUCUCAGUUCGGAUCGUAGUCUGCAGUUCGACUACGUGAAGUCGGAGUCGCUAGUAAUCGCAGAUCAGCAACGCUGCGGUGAAUACGUUCCCGGGCCUUGUACACACCGCCCGUCAAGUCACGAAAGUCGGUAACACCCGAAGCCGGUGUCCCAACCCACUUGUGGGAGGGGGCCGUCUAAGGUGGGAC